GUAAGAGCAGGCGGGGCCCACGCCUCCGCUCGAAGGGCCGCUGCCACCGCGACCGAGCUGCGCCCCCUCGCCGGCUACGCCCCAGCCAACCUAGCUCCGCACCCUCGCCGCCUACGCCGCCGCCGCCGUGCUCUUCACGUUGCCGCCGCCGCAGCUGGAUACUUCUCCGCUCUCCUCGCCACCACCGCCGCAGCUCGACGCUUCUCCGCGGCGAGCCCGCGCUCUGGUGCCUCCGCCCUCGCCGACGAAGCCCGGGACUAUACUCUCCCAUGCUCCGUCCCUUCCUGUCGUAGCAGCGGCAGUGUCCAGAAGGAAGUCAGGGAAAGAAAGGGAGAGGCCAAGUAGGAGAAGGGUAGGUAGCGUAAUCCAUUCAAGGUAAUCCUAGGCCACGGUGGCACGCGGUACUAAAGUCUAACCGGACGGACGAUGGGGCUUACUUACGCGGUGGGUCAGUCGGCUCACUACCGUCUUAUACGAAAACAUCUUGACGUAUAGAUAAACAAUACUUAGAUCUCAGAGUUUCGGUUAUUCAACGAUUUAGUAACUGACCAACAAAGGUACAAACAUAAUACGCGAAGAGUGAGCCGUUCCCCUCGUAAUCCGGAGGAUACCAGACCUAAAGAGGUUUACUGGUCCGAAACGCUUUUAACAUAUGCGUACAGAAUGUCGGAUCGACGUUUUUAAGAUUUUUCUACGCGGAUUACUCCCCCACCACCUACACGCAGGAGAUCCCGGAGCAGCCGGUCUCUUCCUCCCCUCCUCGCCAACGGCUGCUCGCUCCACCGAGACAAACCUGGCCGGUACCACAACCGACAACUGAGGGUGGCCAGAACAGAGGGGGUUGGGAAGGUACCUCGAGCGAAUCGGUGGCCGAUCGUGUAGAAGAAGAGCGAGUGUCGUGGUUCCGGUACACAUCGAAUGAAAAAUUGACAAUAACGACUAACCUCGGUAACGAUAACCGAUAAAUAUGUAUUCUACCUUCCACUUAACUCUAAAAACACUCCCCCUAACCUAAAAUAGGUCUACCGAACGAAGAGCACUACUCUGACUAUGAUUACUUGAUUACUUCUGUACUUCCCCACGACGAUGUCUACAUUUUCGGCAAAAUAGUUUUCUUGAUUUCAUCAUCGAUUAGGUUCGUAACUUCUUAACUGCGUCUCUAAUGCGAUAUAAUCGUACUUCAGUCUCGUCGCGCACUUCUGAUGUAUUCUAUCAAAGACCACUGGAAGUCAGAUAUACAGGAUUGUUUGUUGUCGGUGGAAAAUAAAGCCAUAGUUAGCUAGGUCAUAGAAAGGGAAAAACCGCAACGAGACUCGUUCUAUACAUAUCGGAAAUCUAAAGGUAAGUACAUACUAUGAUGUACAUGUGAAAUCUGGAGUAAGAACAGAGACGCCAGAUUUCUUACAAGAUAUAUACAUUAAUUGACGGGAAGAUGAUUAUAUAAGUCUUCUGAUAAAUACAUACAAAUGUGACCAAUCUCUUUUAGUAGUGUGACGGUCGUCGUCAAAAAAUAAAGGUAAACAAAGUCAUUCUAGAAGGCUGGUUGAGUAGACAGAAAUUUAUAAAAAUACACAUGAGAAAGUUAUGAACCGAACGAAAACGGGAAACGCGGUAACCGCGUUGCCCAGUAGAUCAUGAUGUUUGUGUCUCUUUCUCAAAAGACACCGG
rnacentral:rRNA from 1 species